rnacentral:rRNA from 1 species
CCUACGGAGGCAGCAGUGGGGAAUAUUGGGCAAUGGGCGAAAGCCUGACCCAGCGACGCCGCGUGAGGGACGAAGGCCUUCGGGUUGUAAACCUCUUUCAGCAGGGAAGAAGCGAAAGUGACGGUACCUGCAGAAGAAGCACCGGCUAACUACGUGCCAGCAGCCGCGGUAAUACGUAGGGUGCAAGCGUUGUCCGGAAUUAUUGGGCGUAAAGAGCUCGUAGGUGGUUUGCCACGUCGGAUGUGAAAACCUGAGGCUUAACCUCAGGCCUGCAUUCGAUACGGGCAGACUAGAGUGUGGUAGGGGAGACUGGAAUUCCUGGUGUAGCGGUGAAAUGCGCAGAUAUCAGGAGGAACACCGGUGGCGAAGGCGGGUCUCUGGGCCAUAACUGACACUGAGGAGCGAAAGCGUGGGGAGCAAACAGGAUUAGAUACCCUGGUAGUCCACGCCGUAAACGGUGGGCACUAGAUGUGGGGACCUUCCACGGUCUCUGCGUCGCAGCUAACGCAUUAAGUGCCCCGCCUGGGGAGUACGGCCGCAAGGCUAAAACUCAAAGGAAUUGACGG